CGUAGGGUGCAAGCGUUGUCCGGAAUUAUUGGGCGUAAAGAGCUCGUAGGCGGUUUGUUGCGUCGGCUGUGAAAACCUGAGGCUCAACCUCAGGCCUGCAGUCGAUACGAGCAGACUAGAGUGUUGCAGGGGAGACUGGAAUUCCUGGUGUAGCGGUGAAAUGCGCAGAUAUCAGGAGGAACACCGGUGGCGAAGGCGGGUCUCUGGGCAACAACUGACGCUGAGGAGCGAAAGCGUGGGGAGCGAACAGGAUUAGAUACCCUGGUAGUCAAGGGCG
rnacentral:rRNA from 1 species